rnacentral:rRNA from 1 species
UGGGGAAUAUUGGGCAAUGGGGGAAACCCUGACCCAGCAACGCCGCGUGAAGGAAGAAGGUUUUCGGAUUGUAAACUUCUGUCCUAAGGGAAGAAAGAAAUGACGGUACCUUAGGAGGAAGCCCCGGCUAACUACGUGCCAGCAGCCGCGGUAAUACGUAGGGGGCAAGCGUUGUCCGGAAUUAUUGGGCGUAAAGGGUGCGUAGGCGGCCGAUCAAGUCAGGUGUGAAAGACCCGUGCUUGACAUGGGGGUUGCACUUGAAACUGGUUGGCUUGAGUAUGGGAGAGGCAAGCGGAAUUCCCGGUGUAGCGGUGAAAUGCGUAGAGAUCGGGAGGAACACCAGUGGCGAAGGCGGCUUGCUGGACCAAAACUGACGCUGAGGCACGAAAGCGUGGGUAGCAAACAGGAUUAGAUACC